AGUGAACGCUGGCGGUAGGCCUAACACAUGCAAGUCGAACGGCAGCACAGUAAGAGCUUGCUCUUACGGGUGGCGAGUGGCGGACGGGUGAGGAAUACAUCGGAAUCUACUUUUUCGUGGGGGAUAACGUAGGGAAACUUACGCUAAUACCGCAUACGACCUACGGGUGAAAGCAGGGGAUCUUCGGACCUUGCGCGAUUGAAUGAGCCGAUGUGGGAUUAGCUAGUUGGCGGGGUAAAGGCCCACCAAGGCGACGAUCCGUAGCUGGUCUGAGAGGAUGAUCAGCCACACUGGAACUGAGACACGGUCCAGACUCCUACGGGAGGCAGCAGUGGGGAAUAUUGGACAAUGGGCGCAAGCCUGAUCCAGCCAGACCGCGUGGGUGAAGAAGGCCUUCGGGUUGUAAAGCCCUUUUGUUGGGAAAGAAAAGCAGCAGGUUAAUACCCCGCUGUUCUGACGGUACCCAAAGAAUAAGCACCGGCUAACUUCGUG
rnacentral:rRNA from 1 species